GAUGAACGCUGGCGGCGUGCCUAAUACAUGCAAGUCGAGCGAACGGACGAGAAGCUUGCUUCUCUGAUGUUAGCGGCGGACGGGUGAGUAACACGUGGAUAACCUACCUAUAAGACUGGGAUAACUUCGGGAAACCGGAGCUAAUACCGGAUGAUAUAUUGAACCGCAUGGUUCAAUAGUGAAAGACGGUCUUGCUGUCACUUAUAGAUGGAUCCGCGCUGCAUUAGCUAGUUGGUAAGGUAACGGCUUACCAAGGCAACGAUGCAUAGCCGACCUGAGAGGGUGGUAGGCCACACGAGAGCUGGGACACGGUCCAGACGACUGCGGGAGGCAGCAGUAGGGAAUCUGAGGCAGUGGGCGAGAGCAUGACGGAGCAGGGCGGCGUGAGUGAUGAAGGUCUUGGGAGCGUAAAACUCUGUUAUUAGGGAAGAACAAAUGUGGAAGUAACUAUGCACUGCUUGACGGUACCUAAUCAGAAAGCCACGGCUAACUACGUG
rnacentral:rRNA from 1 species